AAUAAAUAUCAAGAGAUGCAACGUGUGUUGCCACCAACCGAGCUUACUAUAGCGUAGCCACGGUGGGAUAUAUGAUGUGAGUGUUUUAACUAAAAAAGAAACGUUAU
rnacentral:ncRNA from 2 species